rnacentral:lncRNA from 1 species
ACACAUAGGUAGCAUGUUGAUAUCUAGAUAAUUAAGGUGGUUCAAUAGUAAGGCAAGGAACAGAGGUAGAAGGUUCAAUAAACAUGAGCACGAUACAUGGAUUAUAUUUAUAGGAGAUAAUCGCGAUCAUUGGCGGUACACCUUGCCUUGCGUCUGAAGUAGAAGGCGCAGAUGUCACCCUCAUGCAUGUUUGCAUGACAGUGGAACUCUGUCCAGUUGGUUGUGAUGGUGGUCAUCCUGUCAUUCCCUGUGAUGAGGCGAGAGACGACGGGGACCUCGCCAUCUGCAAGCUUGAUUGGCAAUGCAUCAUGAUCUUGGUUAAUGCACUUCUGGAGGUAGUCUUCUGUGUAGUGAACCUUAAAGUAGUGGGAACAUAAAGAGAACCAAUGAGAGGAAUCUAAAAGAAGUGAUACAUCAUACUGUACUAUUCAGGAAUGCUGUAGUUUGAACAACCUAGUGCUGGAUUUAUUGAAGACAGAAUAAUUAUGAGGGAUAUUAUAAAGGUGAUUCCUAUGUAAUUCAGGUUGCACCCAAUUUGUAUUAACACAGUCAAGUUAAUGUGUUAAUUAAAGAUAUUAUAAAGGUGCCAGGCAUGUUUCGAACCUCUGUGCGCACUUGUAUUGCUGGAGCGCCUAGAUACUUCUCUAAGCAUUUUCACACGGGAUCACACACAUUCGUCUUCCACAGAUAGCAAACUAACUCAUGUUAGCAUCAAGUUAUUUGUUUUCUUCUGUGAAGGGGAUGAAAGCUUUGGC